UAGUACCCCGGCUGACUUAAGCAUAUCAAUAAGCGGAGGAAAAGAAACCACACAGGGAUGCCCCAGUAACGGCGAGUGAAGCGGCAGUAGCUCAAAUUUGAAAUCUGGGGUCUCCGACCCCCGAGUUGUAAUUUGGAGAGGCAUCUUCGGGGUGGGGGGCGCCGGCCCAUGUUCCUUGGAACAGGACGUCACAGAGGGUGAGAAUCCCGUGCCCGGCCGGCUGCCUCCUCCCGCGUGAAGGGCCUUCGACGAGUCGAGUUGUUUGGGAAUGCAGCUCCAAGUGGGUGGUAAAUUUCAUCUAAGGCUAAAUACCGGCGGGAGACCGAUAGCGCACAAGUAGAGUGAUCGAAAGAUGAAAAGCACUUUGAAAAUAGAGUCAAAAAGUACGUGAAAUUGUUGAAAGGGAAGCGCUUGAGACCAGACUCAGGCCCGGGCAAACAUCCCUCCCCUCGGGGCCGUGCAAUUGCCUGGGGCUGGGCCAGCAUCAGUUGGCGUGGCGGGACAAAGGCGUGGGGAAUGUGGCUCCCCUCGGGGAGUGUUAUUAGCCCCGCGCUCAAUGCCGCCGACGCCGACUGAGGACCGCGCCUCGGCUAGGAUGCUGGCUUAAUGGCCUCCAGCGACCCGUCUUGAAACACGGACCAAGGAGUCUAACAUCUAUGCGAGUGUUUGGGUGCCAAACCCUUGCGCGGAAUGAAAGUGAGCGGAGGUGGGAACCCCCCUGCGGGGGCGCACCAUCGACCGAUCCUGAUGUCUUCGGAUGGAUUUGAGUAGGAGCAUAGCUGUUGGGACCCGAAAGAUGGUGAACUAUGCCUGAAUAGGGUGAAGCCAGAGGAAACUCUGGUGGAGGCUCGCAGCGGUUCUGACGUGCAAAUCGAUCGUCAAAUUUGGGUAUAGGGGCGAAAGACUAAUCGAACCAUCUAGUAGCUGGUUCCUGCCGAAUUCCCCCUUCAGGAA
rnacentral:rRNA from 1 species